rnacentral:rRNA from 1 species
GCCAGCAGCCGCGGUAAUACAGAGGGUGCGAGCGUUAAUCGGAUUUACUGGGCGUAAAGCGUGCGUAGGCGGCUUAUUAAGUCGGAUGUGAAAUCCCCGAGCUUAACUUGGGAAUUGCAUUCGAUACUGGUGAGCUAGAGUAUGGGAGAGGAUGGUAGAAUUCCAGGUGUAGCGGUGAAAUGCGUAGAGAUCUGGAGGAAUACCGAUGGCGAAGGCAGCCAUCUGGCCUAAUACUGACGCUGAGGUACGAAAGCAUGGGGAGCAAACAGGAUUAG